rnacentral:rRNA from 1 species
CCUACGGGAGGCAGCAGUGGGGAAUAUUGGACAAUGGACCAAAAGUCUGAUCCAGCAAUUCUGUGUGCACGAUGAAGUUUUUCGGAAUGUAAAGUGCUUUCAGUUGGGACGAAGUAAGUGACGGUACCAACAGAAGAAGCGACGGCUAAAUACGUGCCAGCAGCCGCGGUAAUA